UACGUAGGUGGCAAGCGUUGUCCGGAAUUAUUGGGCGUAAAGCGCGCGCAGGCGGUUUCUUAAGUCUGAUGUGAAAGCCCCCGGCUCAACCGGGGAGGGUCAUUGGAAACUGGGAAACUUGAGUGCAGGAGAGAAGAGCGGAAUUCCACGUGUAGCGGUGAAAUGCGUAGAGAUGUGGGGGAACACCAGUGGCGAAGGCGGCUCUUUGGCCUGUAACUGACGCUGAGGCGCGAAAGCGUGGGGAGCAAACAGG
rnacentral:rRNA from 1 species